rnacentral:lncRNA from 1 species
AUGGGCUUAUCACAAGGAACAUGUACGGGAUCUAGCUCAGGGCCCAAAAAACAAAUUUCGACAUUCCGUAUCAAGUACUACCAUAAUUUUUCUUUUAUUUUCUUUUUUUUUUCUCAUCCAUCUAUAUAUUACCAUUCCCCUUAAUUAGAAAAUGGCAAAUAUUAUUUACAUAAUAAUAAUUCAUACGGCAUAUUUUAUACUGUAAUAGGUUUUCAUUCAAGAUAUAGG